AAACGGCCCCAUCAAUGAUGGAUAAUUUCAAAUAAAAAAUAAAAAAUUUAUUAUUGUUGAUGCGUAA
rnacentral:sRNA from 1 species